UCCCACUCUGAGGGGGACUAAUCCAGUUACUGUCCUUCCCCCUUCCAGCUCCUGCUUCUCUCUACUGUCUGUCAAGAGUGAAGUCAAUUACACGUCCCAACUUUGCACCAAAAGGAAAGAACUGAGUAAAGAAGUUCAGAGAGUAACACAACCAAAGGCUGACAGCCCAGAUGUGCAGAAGCAGAGAAAUGGAGCCCCCAGCCCAGAGGCGCGUGAGUUCCAUUGCAGUGGCUGACAGCUGACAUGCUCCCUGAGCACAGGGACCAGCGUCCUCCUCAACACAUCUCAGCUCAGCAAGGACAGGGCCCAGGGCCCAACCCCACCUGCUGCAGGGCCAUGGCCACACGGAGAGCCACACACACACAUAUCACUGGGCCUGAGGCUGAGCGGCUCAGGGGAGGUGACAGGAGUGAAGGAUCCGGUCACCAGGCUCAACUCACUCAGAGGGGUGGCUAGGCUCCUCUGCACAGCCCACUCCCCCGAGGGUCUUCAGUGGACAGUUAACAGGUGCUGAUUGGUUUGGAAGCUGAUGGAGCUAAAGGAGAUGGAGGCAUGGCUGGAUCCCUCCUCCCACAAGUGGACCAGGCCCCUCUGUGGCCUCAGGUUCAGGCUCCAGCCCUGAGGGAGGCCGUGGGUGCCCACACCAACUCCCACCUGGACCAGGUCAGGCCUUGGAGACUCCAGGGAGAUUCUGCCCCUUCCGGCUUCCCCUGGAAACUCUGCUCCAGCAGGGUGCUUUCUGCUGCCACCUGGUCUUUGCCCUCAUUUCUGCCAAGAAAGGGCCUGGACUCAGAAGGGAAUUUGGAAUCUGCAUGCAGCCCCUGCCCUUAAGGCUGGGUCCAUUGUGAGCCCUCAGGCCUUGGCCUCUCCUCCCCCUCCCCCUGAGCAGGGAAGCCCAGGGGAGUGUGAGCUUGGCAGAGAGCAGGGGCAAGAAGUCCACAGAAACAGGACUUGUCAGCUGAUGCUCUUCAGAUGCUGAGUUUAAAGGCCAGCUGGGCUGCCUGCUCGCUGUGUGCUCUUGGGCAAGUUUAUUAACCUCUCUGUGCCUGUGUCGUCCUCAACAAGAGAAUCAACUCUGCUGACUAGUUGGGGGUCUCAAACUGAUCUAGUGUACAGACUCCUCACAAUCAGCUGUCGGGAGAGACUUGGAGAGGCUGACCUCUGAGAGGCUGCCCCUCCUGGUAUGCACACCUCAUGCUCAGCCUCCAGCGUUAAAUGAGGUAAAGGUCCAGGGCUCUCAUCAGGAGCCACCCUGCUGGGCAUGUCUAGUUCCCUCCAGACUCGCCAAGUCAGAGUCCUUUUGACAUGGCCAGCGGGUCCAACUCCCAAGGGAGACUCGCCAGGAGAGGUUAUUGGCGUGCCUCUUCGAUUUGAAUGACAGGAAACAAAAGUAUGGGAAUGCGUGUCAUUUACAUAAUCAAGUUACUAUCACCUAGAAAUGAAGUGAAGGCCCAUCUUCAGACCCAAACUCAAUGUAAGCCAGGCUCU